rnacentral:rRNA from 1 species
GGGCCCGCACAAGCGGUGGAGCAUGUGGUUUAAUUCGAUGCAACGCGAAAAACCUUACCGGGAUUUGACAUCCCCUGCUCACUUUCGAAAGAAGGUUUUCUCUUCGGAGACAGGGAGACAGGUGGUGCAUGGUUGUCGUCAGCUCGUGUCGUGAGAUGUUGGGUUAAGUCCCGCAACGAGCGCAACCCCUAUUAUUAGUUGCUAACACUUCGGGUGAGCACUCUAAUAAGACUGCCGGUGAUAAACCGGAGGAAGGUGGGGACGACGUCAAAUCAUCAUGCCCUUUAUAUCCCGGGCUACACACGUGCUACAAUGGCCUAUACAGAGGGAAGCGACCUGGCGACAGGAAGCGGACCCCGUAAAAUAGGUCUCAGUUCAGAUUGCAGGCUGCAACUCGCCUGCAUGAAGCAGGAAUCGCUAGUAAUCGCAGGUCAGAAUACUGCGGUGAAUACGUUCCCGGGCCUU